rnacentral:rRNA from 2 species
AGGUUAAGCUAGAAAGGGCGCACGGUGAAUGCCUUGGCACUAGGAGCCGAAGAAGGACGCGACGAACAGCGAAAUGCCUCGGGGAGCUGUAAGUAAGCUUUGAUCCGGGGAUAUCCGAAUGGGGGAACCCACCAUCCGUAAUGGGAUGGUACCCAUACCUGAAUMYAUAGGGUAUGAGGAGGCAGACCUGGGGAACUGAAACAUCUAAGUACCMAGAGGAAGAGAAAGCAAAUGCGAUUUCCUGAGUAGCGGCGAGCGAAACGGAAUUAGCCCAAACCAAGAGGCUUGCCUCUUGGGUACUCCCUAGUGACCGAUAGUGAACCAGUACCGUGAGGGAAAGGUGAAAAGCACCCCGGAAGGGGAGUGAAAGAGAUCCUGAAACCGUGUGCCUACAAGUAGUCAGAGCCCAUUUACGGGUGAUGGCGUGCCUUUUGUAGAAUGAACCGGCGAGUUACGAUCCCGUGCAAGGUUAAGCUGAUAAGGCGGAGCCGCAGCGAAAGCGAGUCUGAAUAGGGCGAAUAAGUACGUGGUCGUAGACCCGAAACCGUGUGAUCUACCCAUGUCCAGGGUGAAGUUCAGGUAACACUGAAUGGAGGCCCGAACCCACGCAUGUUGAAAAAUGCGGGGAUGAGGUGUGGGUAGGGGUGAAAUGCCAAUCGAACUCGGAAAUAGCUGGUUCUCCCCGAAAUAGCUUUAGGGCUAGCCUCGAGGGAAGAGUAUUGGAGGUAGAGCACUGAUUGGGCUAGGGGUCCCCACAGGAUUACCGAACUCAGUCAAACUCCGAAUGCCAAAUACUUAUCCUCGGGAGUCAGACUGCGAGUGCUAAGAUCCGUAGUCAAGAGGGAAACAGCCCAGACCGUCAGCUAAGGUCCCMAAGUAUACGUUAAGUGGUAAAGGAUGUGGAGUUGCCCAGACAACCAGGAUGUUGGCUUAGAAGCAGCCACCAUUUAAAGAGUGCGUAAUAGCUCACUGGUCGAGUGACUCUGCGCCGAAAAUGUACCGGGGCUAAACGUAUCACCGAAGCUACGGCUUGUCCUUACGGACAGGGGUAGGGGAGCGUUCUAAGUGCAGCGAAGUCAGACCGGAAGGACUGGUGGAGCGCUUAGAAGUGAGAAUGCCGGUAUGAGUAGCGAAAAGAGGGGUGAGAAUCCCCUCCGUCGAAAGCCUAAGGUUUCCUGAGGAAGGCUCGUCCGCUCAGGGUAAGUCGGGACCUAAGCCGAGGCCGAAAGGCGUAGGCGAUGGACAACAGGUUGAAAUUCCUGUACCACCUCCUCACCGUUUGAGCAAUGGGGGGACGCAGUAAGGUAGGGUAAGCGCGCUGAUGGAUGCGCGUCUAAGCAGUUAGGCUGGUAAGUAGGCAAAUCCGCUUACCAUWAAGGCUGAGCUGUGAUAGCGAGGGAAAUUAAGUACCGAAGUUCCUGAUCCUACACUGCCAAGAAAAGCCUCUAGCGAGGUGAGAGGUGCCCGUACCGCAAACCGACACAGGUAGGCGGGAAGAGAAUUCUAAGACGCUCGGGAGAACUCUCGUUAAGGAACUCGGCAAAAUGACCCCGUAACUUCGGGAGAAGGGGUGCUCUGUUAGGGUGUAUGCCCGAGAGAGCCGCAGUGAAUAGGUCCAAGCGACUGUUUAGCAAAAACACAGGUCUCUGCGAAGCCGCAAGGCGAAGUAUAGGGGCUGACACCUGCCCGGUGCUGGAAGGUUAAGGGGAGUGGUUAGGCGCAAGCCGAAGCUGUGAACCGAAGCCCCAGUAAACGGCGGCCGUAACUAUAACGGUCCUAAGGUAGCGAAAUUCCUUGUCGGGUAAGUUCCGACCCGCACGAAUGGUGUAACGACUUGGACACUGUCUCAACGAGAGACCCGGUGAAAUUAUAUUACCUGUGAAGAUGCAGGUUACCCGCGACAGGACGGAAAGACCCCAUGGAGCUUUACUGUAGCUUGAUAUUGGAUUUUGGUACAGCUUGUACAGGAUAGGUAGGAGCCUUGGAAGCGUGAGCGCCAGCUUACGUGGAGGCGUCGGUGGGAUACUACCCUGGCUGUAUUGAAGUUCUAACCUCGAACCGUGAUCCGGUUCAGGGACAGUGUCAGGUGGGCAGUUUGACUGGGGCGGUCGCCUCCUAAACAGUAACGGAGGCGCCCAAAGGUUCCCUCAGAAUGGUUGGAAAUCAUUCGUAGAGUGCAAAGGCAUAAGGGAGCUUGACUGCGAGACCUACAAGUCGAGCAGGGACGAAAGUCGGGCUUAGUGAUCCGGUGGUUCCGCAUGGAAGGGCCAUCGCUCAACGGAUAAAAGCUACCCUGGGGAUAACAGGCUUAUCUCCCCCAAGAGUCCACAUCGACGGGGAGGUUUGGCACCUCGAUGUCGGCUCAUCGCAUCCUGGGGCUGAAGUAGGUCCCAAGGGUUGGGCUGUUCGCCCAUUAAAGCGGUACGCGAGCUGGGUUCAGAACGUCGUGAGACAGUUCGGUCCCUAUCCGUCGUGGGCGUAGGAAAUUUGAGAGGAGCUGUCCUUAGUACGAGAGGACCGGGAUGGACACACCGCUGGUGUACCAGUUGUUCCGCCAGGAGCAUAGCUGGGUAGCUACGUGUGGACGGGAUAAGCGCUGAAAGCAUCUAAGCGUGAAGCCCCCCUCRAGAUGAGAUUUCCCAUUACGUUAAGUAAGUAAGACCCCUUAGAGAUGAUGAGGUUGAUAGGUCUCGGGUGGAAGCGUGG